rnacentral:rRNA from 1 species
CGCUGGCGGCGUGCCUAACACAUGCAAGUCGAGCGGGGAUACAGGGAACGGAAGCUUCGGCGGAAGGGAGCUGUAUCUAGCGGCGGACGGGUGAGUAACGCGUGAACGAUCUGUCCCAGACAGGGGGAUAACACUUGGAAACAGGUGCUAAUACCGCAUAAGACCACGUAGCUGCAUGGCUAUGAGGUAAAAGGGGAGAUCCGGUAUGGGGUGAGUUCGCGUCUGAUUAGCUAGUUGGUGAGGUAACGGCCCACCAAGGCGACGAUCAGUAGCCGACCUGAGAGGGUGAUCGGCCACAUUGGAACUGAGACACGGUCCAAACUCCUACGGGAGGCAGCAGGUGGGGAAUAUUGGGCAAUGGGCGAAAGCCCUGACCCAGCAACGCCGCGUGAGGGAAGAAGGUUUUCGGAUUGUAAACCUCUGUUGUGGAUGACGAAGGAAGUGACGGUAAUCCACAAGGAAGCCCCGGCUAACUACGUGCCAGCAGCCGC